rnacentral:ncRNA from 1 species
GUGCGUGAGAGAAGGAGAGAUGGUUGGCAGUCCCGUAAACAAGGUUGGAUAGGGCACCUGUUGCUCACUCUCCGGAGGCACGAAUCGUCCGCUACAUCGGGCGGUCUUUUUAAAGAUGUAC